rnacentral:rRNA from 1 species
AUUGAACGCUGGCGGCAUGCCUUACACAUGCAAGUCGAACGGCAGCACGGGUGCUUGCACCUGGUGGCGAGUGGCGAACGGGUGAGUAAUACAUCGGAACGUACCUUAUCGCGGGGGAUAACGCAGCGAAAGUUGCGCUAAUACCGCAUACGCCCUGAGGGGGAAAGCGGGGGACCGUAAGGCCUCGCGCGAUUAGAGCGGCCGAUGUCUGAUUAGCUUGUUGGUGAGGUAAAAGCUCACCAAGGCGAUGAUCAGUAGCUGGUCUGAGAGGACGAUCAGCCACACUGGGACUGAGACACGGCCCUGACUCCUACGGGAGGCAGCAGUGGGGAAUUUUGGACAAUGGGGGCAACCCUGAGCCAGCAAUGCCGCGUGAGUGAAGAAGGCCUUCGGGUUGUAAGGCUCUUUUGUCAGGGAAGAAACAGCAGCUCUAACACAGUCUGCGAAUGACGGUACCUGAAGAAUAAGCACCGGCUAACUACGUGCCAGCCGCCGCCGUAA